CAGCCGCCGCGGUAAUACGUAGGUGGCAAGCGUUGUCCGGAAUUAUUGGGCGUAAAGGGCUCGCAGGCGGUUUCUUAAGUCCGAUGUGAAAGCCCCCGGCUCAACCGGGGAGGGUCAUUGGAAACUGGGAAACUUGAGUGCAGAAGAGGAGAGUGGAAUUCCACGUGUAGCGGUGAAAUGCGUAGAGACGUGGAGGAACACCAGUGGCGAAGGCGACUCUCUGGUCUGUAACUGACGCUGAGGAGCGAAAGCGUGGGGAGCGAACAGGAUUAGAUACCCGGGUAGUCCCUGUCUCUUAUAA
rnacentral:rRNA from 1 species